rnacentral:lncRNA from 1 species
UAUCUCUCUCUCUCUCAUUAUCUGAACAUAACCAUUUGAAUCUGAAAAUUUCCAAACCCCAUUGAUGCUGUCGUCUCUGCAAACCGUCAGUGCUACAAUCUCAACUUUUCCAAACCGUCUGAAAUUCUCGAAAUCAAUUGUAUUGUAUGUGGAAUUUCCAAACAUCUAUAAGCUAUUGUAUAUCGUAGUGUUGAUAUAUAUUCUAUAUGCAUUUUUUGCCUUAAUAAAAAACAAGUGCUACGAUCUCUCUCAUUAACUUUUUUCGAAAUGAUUUGCAUUUUGUCUAACAAUUUUUAUAUUGUCUCUUAGUUUUGGGUUAUUCAUUUGUUUAUAUAUAUUCUGUAUGUAAUUUUUUUAAUGCUCAUAGAAUCAGAAGACAACUGAUUUGAUUGAAAAUAAUUUGUCUAGGGAAGUGCCAGCUCAUUGAAUGAUUCUUCUUUAGAACUUAUUGAAAUUCCUUCUCCACUUUACUUUUCAAUGCACAUUUGUACUGCUCGACAAACUGCUUAAGGGAUAUUUUGGAAUGAACAUAACCAUAAAAAAUGCAUUAAUGCUCUCACUUCGUUGAGUUGUUGACAUGUUGGCUCAAAAUGAUGUCCUACAAAAAACAUGGUACCCAUCGUCGUCUCUCAUUGUACAAUCCAGUUAACCAACCAUUUUCUAUUAAUUCAUACUAUUCGAGCAUCCUACUCCAACCUUGCUCGAAUUCCUCACAUCUCUGUACGUUGUAUACCAACCCAUGCAUCAUGGAAAGAAUAGAAGCUUUGUGUCUGUGGUUGCCAAAUUUCUCUGGUAAUUUCUUCAAAAUGUGCCACAAACACCAUUUGUGCCUUGUAUUCGGAAAGACAAUUUCAAUUGCAUUCUGCAUAGCUCAAUCUUGAUCCGUAAUAAUUUCACUUGGAGCUAUACCAUGCAUACAUUCUAGCUAUGUCCUAAAAAACCAUAUGAAGGUCGUUGUAUCUUCAUUCGAAAUCAAUUCACAUCCAAGGAGAGUUGACUGCCCAUGAUAAUUCACUCCAACAAAUGGAGAAAAUGGCAUAUCAUACUUGUUAGUCAAAUAUGUGGUGUCAAAUGUCACUAUGUCCUCGAACUCAUUACAUGCUUCUCUACACAUAUUAUCAGCCAAAAUAUAUUUUUCAGAUGGGCCUUAUCAUCCAAGUCUCUACUAAAAUAGAAACCAUGAUUGUUUGUUUGCAUCUUUAAGAAAUAGGCUUGUAUAGCAACAAUAUCUCCUUCACCGAGUCGUGACCGACAAAUCUUGUCAAUGAAAUUUUUGCAGUCUUUCUCGACACAAGUUAUACUGUUAUAACCACCAACAUCAAUUACUGCUGAGUUAAAACUCUUGUGCAAUAUUAUAUCAGCAAUAUCAUUUAUUUCGAGCUAUCGUUUCACACGUUCGCUAAUCUCGCGAUUGCAAUGAUACAACCUUGAUUUUGAUGGACUUAUUAUGUGAUUGUGCUAUAGGUGGACAGUGUUUAUACGCCACUUUCUAUUUUGUUCAGAACAUGCUGUCAAUCUCGCUUUACACCCAGUUUGGAUGGUUGGUUGAGGCAUAAGACAAGAAUUGAUAGCACUCGUUCGACGGCCUUCUCGGCUGCACGUGAAAGUUACAUAAUGGACAACCCCAUCAUCAUCCUUCGUCGAAUUCCUUUUUCUAAUAGGAAAAUCGAUUUGGAAUGCAUAGUUUUUGUAAAAUUCAAAUACCUUAUUUUUAUCGUUAAAUUUCAUUCGAACAUGAGGCACGAUAAUCUCAAUCUCUAUCUCUAAGUU